CCUACGGGAGGCAGCAGUGAGGAAUAUUGGUCAAUGGACGAGAGUCUGAACCAGCCAAGUAGCGUGAAGGAUGACUGCCCUAUGGGUUGUAAACUUCUUUUAUAAAGGAAUAAAACGAGGCACGUGUGCCUUUUUGCAUGUACUUUAUGAAUAAGGAUCGGCUAACUCCGUGCCAGCAGCCGCGGUAAUACGGAGGAUCCGAGCGUUAUCCGGAUUUAUUGGGUUUAAAGGUAGCGUAGAUGGGUUGUUAAGUCAGUUGUGAAAGUUUGCGGCUCAACCGUAAAAUUGCAAUUGAUACUGGCAGUCGUGAGUACAGUUGAGGUAGGCGGAAUUCGUGGUGUAGCGGUGAAAUGCUUAGAUAUCACGAAGAACCCCGAUUGCGAAGGCAGCUUACUAAACUGUGACUGACAUUGAUGCUCGAAAGUGUGGGUAUCAAACAGGAUUAGAUACCCCAGUAGUC
rnacentral:rRNA from 1 species